CUACGGGGCGCAGCAGUGAGGAAUAUUGCACAAUGGGGGGAACCCUGAUGCAGCAACGCCGCGUGGAGGAUGACGCAUUUCGGUGUGUAAACUCCUUUUAUAUGUCAAGAAAAUGACGGUAGCAUAUGAAUAAGCACCGGCUAACUCCGUGCCAGCAGCCGCGGUAAUACGGAGGGUGCAAGCGUUACUCGGAAUCACUGGGCGUAAAGGACGCGUAGGCGGGUUGGAAAGUCAGGUGUGAAAUCCUACAGCUUAACUGUAGAACUGCACUUGAAACUUCUAAUCUAGAGCAUGGGAGGGGGAGAUGGAAUUAGUGGUGUAGGGGUAAGAUCCGUAGAUAUCACUAGGAAUACCUAAAGCGAAGGCGAUCUCCUGGAACAUUACUGACGCUAAGGCGUGAAAGCGUGAGGAGCAAACAGGAUUAGAUACCCGGGUAGUC
rnacentral:rRNA from 1 species